UAUGCGAGCACGUUCGCACGUGGAGUCAGCACGCAGCCGCUGUGCUAGAAGAAAACGACGACGCCAGACCGAUCGUGAACGGUUCGACUUAUUUCCAAGCUCUGACAAGGCUGCACGCUGCCGCGACAACGGGUGGUCGCCGACAUUGCACGUGGUUCCGAACUGGACCUUGAGGAUGUGGCGCUCGAAGUGCUCGUCGGCUACCGCGUGCAGCCUUGUCUACUGCACAGCCAUCGCUCAUGCUCAAGUACAUGUUCGAGAACUUGUAUCAUCGGGCUUGGCCUGCUCCGCGUCCGGUUCCUGUUGCAUCCCACUUACGACGAGCAGAAUGCUGAGCAGCCGCCCAUAUAGUGGAUGAAAUCCAGCACGCGUUUCUGGGACCUGAACGUGUCUAUUGGACCUUUCUGACCUACGAGUUUGGCUUGCCCCGCGUCCGAUGCCUCUGGCACCCCACUUACGACGAGCCCGUUACCGAGCCAUGGACUACGUGGCGGGUGACGUCCGACCUCCACUUCUGGACCCUCCUCGUGUCUAU